GAUGAACGCUGGCGGCGUGCUUAACACAUGCAAGUCGAGCGAGGAUUACCAGUGGAAGAUUUCGGUUGGAAACAGGUAAUACCUAGUGGCGGACGGGUGAGUAACGCGUGGGGAACCUGCCCCAUUCCGGGGGAUACCAGUUGGAAACGACGGUUAAUACCGCAUAAGCGCACAGUACCGCAUGGUACAGUGUGAAAACUGAGGUGGAAUGGGAUGGCCCCGCGUCUGAUUAGCCAGUUGGCAGGGUAACGGCCUACCAAAGCGACGAUCAGUAGCCGGCCUGAGAGGGCGACCGGCCACAUUGGGACUGAGACACGGCCCAA
rnacentral:rRNA from 1 species